GAGUUCGGUUGUGACUAGGAAGGAGCUAGUGGACUAGAGCCAGGGUAAGGGGAUGGGCUAGAAGUUGGUCUUCCGCCAGGACUAGAGUUUCCUAGCGGUAACAGCCUCCGUGGCCUCCGGAGGACCAUGUCAUUAGACUUUGGCAGUGUGGCACUACCAGUGCAAAAUGAAGAUGAAGAGUAUGACAAAGAGGACUAUGAAAGAGAGAAAGAGUUGCAGCAGUUACUCACAGACCUUCCCCAUGAGAUGCUGGAUGACGACCUCUCCUCUCCAGAGCUCCAGUAUUCGGACUGCAGCGAGGAUGGCACAGACGGACAGUAAGCGCCUGAAGUCACUUUCACUUGUAUAUUGCAAUUCUAUAAGUCUUUUUCUUUUGAUGAAGAUUAAUAAUUACAUGAUUAUAAAAUUGUAAAUUGAUUCUUAAAAUUUUGGGUGAAGAUUGGAAGGAAAAAUGUUAAAAUCUUGGGGUUCUUUGUGUUAUCUAUGUACAAAUAAAUGAUAGGCUUUAAAUCGAAAGUAUUCCUUUUUCUCGAGACCACAUCAUCCUGAGCAAUUGGAGAUGAGCUGGAAUGAGCAAAUGCUGCCCAAAUCUCA
rnacentral:sRNA from 1 species